AACGAACGCUGGCGGCAGGCUUAACACAUGCAAGUCGAGCGCCCCGCAAGGGGAGCGGCAGACGGGUGAGUAACGCGUGGGAAUCUACCCAUCUCUACGGAAUAACGCAUGGAAACGUGUGCUAAUACAGUAUACGUCCUUCGGGAGAAAGAGUUAUCGGAGAUGGAUGAGCCCGCGUUGGAUUAGUUAGUUGGUGGGGUAAAGGCCUACCAAGGCGACGAUCUAUAGCUGGUCUGAGAGGAUGAUCAGCCACACUGGGACGGAGACACGGCCCGGAGUCGUAGGGGAGGCAGCAGUGGGGAAGAUUGGACAAUGGGCGCAAGCCUGAUCCAGGCAUGCCGCGUGAGUGAUGAAGGCCCUAGGGUUGUAAAGCUCUUUCACCGGUGAAGAUAAUGACGGUAACCGGAGAAGAAGCCCCAGCUAACUUCGUGCCAGCCGCCGCCGUAAGAC
rnacentral:rRNA from 1 species